CACUCCUACGGGAGGCAGCAGUGGGGAAUUUUGGACAAUGGGCGAAAGCCUGAUCCAGCAAUGCCGCGUGUGUGAAGAAGGCCUUCGGGUUGUAAAGCACUUUUGUCCGGAAAGAAAUCCUUGGCUCUAAUACAGUCGGGGGAUGACGGUACCGGAAGAAUAAGCACCGGCUAACUACGUGCCAGCAGCCGCGGUAAUACGUAGGGUGCGAGCGUUAAUCGGAAUUACUGGGCGUAAAGCGUGCGCAGGCGGUUUGCUAAGACCGAUGUGAAAUCCCCGGGCUCAACCUGGGAACUGCAUUGGUGACUGGCAGGCUAGAGUAUGGCAGAGGGGGGUAGAAUUCCACGUGUAGCAGUGAAAUGCGUAGAGAUGUGGAGGAAUACCGAUGGCGAAGGCAGCCCCCUGGGCCAAUACUGACGCUCAUGCACGAAAGCGUGGGGAGCAAACAGGAUUAGAAACCCGGGUAGUCCCA
rnacentral:rRNA from 1 species